AAAGCAUGAUGAGUAGUUAACCAAUCGUUUCCAAAAAUCACAUCAAAGGCAAGUAUUUUCAAAGAGAUAAGAUCGACAGGUAACGUGAAAGUGUUUAUUUGAAUCAAACAAGAUUUAUAAACAGUGGAGGUAACGAAGGCUCCUACUAACGAAGUUUCAACCAAUAAGUCAAAGUCUAACUUUUCCGGAGUCAAAUUUAAACGUUGAACGCAAGCAAGAGAGAUAAAAU
rnacentral:lncRNA from 1 species